GAAAACUGACGUUGGGUGCUGUUUUGUUGCAGGAAAUGAGCUCCAUUGUGAAUGAAGUAAUCAGAUGACCCCUGUGCAGUCCGAACACAUACGGAGAAGCACUCCUUAAAACAUGCUGCUGCUGCCGCAGGCUUACACCCUGAGCUCCUGCAGACUCACAGCAAGUCACGGCUGACUUCUUACUUACGGGAACACGGAGAGCCAUCGCCUACGUGUGUCCUGCCUAUGGAGAUGGCCAGAACACAAUACAGCACCUACUGCAGGAGGAGAGCUUUCCCCACAUGCCCUGUGGUCUCCCGGAGGGGUGUUUAACUGCCCCCGAAGGCGCUGGUGCUCGCCUCAGCCUGGAGGGCCGCCAGGACAGGGCUCAGCCCUGGCUUUGCUUCUGCCACCUCCCGGCCGUGGGUCAAGCUGACUUCCAUGAGCACAGGCUCAUAAAUAUUUCCGUGGCUUAUGCAGCUGCGGAUGUUUUCAAGCAAAUAUAUUUAUUAUGUCAAUAACAAUAAAAAAAAGAUGACUUAUUCAAUAAUUCAUAACGGCUGCGGGGCUGCUGGAGGCGAGCAUGGCUCACUUUACUUUAGAUAACUUAUAAAUGCAGAUAAUUUCCAUGACAGACUGAAAUUACUUUCUGGUGAGUAUUUAUCUGAGAUUUAAUUUUCUUAUUAACC
rnacentral:lncRNA from 1 species